rnacentral:rRNA from 1 species
UACGGAGGGGGCUAGCGUUGUUCGGAAUUACUGGGCGUAAAGGGCGCGUAGGCGGCCCGCUAAGUCGAACGUGAAAUCCCUGGGCUCAACCCAGGAACUGCGUCCGAUACGGGCAGGCUCGAGUUCGGUAGGGGAGACUGGAAUUCCUGGUGUAGCGGUGAAAUGCGCAGAUAUCAGGAGGAACACCGGUGGCGAAGGCGGGUCUCUGGGCCGAUACUGACGCUGAGGAGCGAAAGCGUGGGGAGCAAACGGG